UACGAAGGGGCUAGCGUUGCUCGGAAUCACUGGGCGUAAAGCGCACGUAGGCGGAUUGUUAAGUCAGGGGUGAAAUCCUGGAGCUCAACUCCAGAACUGCCUUUGAUACUGGCGAUCUCGAGUCCGGGAGAGGUGAGUGGAACUGCGAGUGUAGAGGUGAAAUUCGUAGAUAUUCGCAAGAACACCAGUGGCGAAGGCGGCUCACUGGCCCGGUACUGACGCUGAGGUGCGAAAGCGUGGGGAGCAACAGGG
rnacentral:rRNA from 1 species